rnacentral:tRNA from 1 species
GCCUUGGUGGUGAAAUGGUA